AUGGACAGAUGUUUUCCGAACCCCAUCUGGCCCAAACCUUCCAGCUACCAUCAACCCCUCCCAUCUACCAUUCAGAACAGAGGCGUGAUGAGUCUGGAGGAUCUAUGUGACCAUGACAACGAGGAGUUCAAACAAAUCCACACUGACUACAGGGGGGUGAAGCUAUGGAAAAUCUCUCAUGGCAGGACUCAUGGCCCUCAAUAUACUGGAGAACUUUCCCAUCAAAGGGUACACUCCUCACCUUAGCUAUGGCUCAACAAUAAAGGACAACCCCAGCUAUGUAUUGAUUUGUGGAGAAGAGCAUGGCUACAUUAAACUCCAUUGAGAGAAUGUGUUAAUUACUUACAGCUUGAUUGUUCCAUUGUUGCUUUGAUAGGAAUCAAAAAAAAUUACCACAUAAGGCCACCUGUUACUCUCAGUGAGGAUCUUGGGUUGAGCCGUCUCGGCGUUCCACAACAAACAGCCAACCCUGGGUCUGUUCCAGAACCGGUGGUGAGAAACACUGGCCUGUUCAAUGCAACCCAAGAAGGUGCUACCUAGAACCAUAAAGGGUUUUUCAAUUGUACCCCAUAGGAGAUCCUUCAGAAAAUAACUAUUUUUGGUUCCAAGUGGAACCCUUCCACUAAUGCAAGGUUCUAAAUGGAACCCUUUCGCUACUAAAAAGGUUCUGAGUAGAAUAAUGGAGACCACCAAAGGGUUCUAUCUGUGGUAUAAAAGAUUUUACUCGGAACCGUUUCUUAUCCUUUUGAGACAAACAAAUAAAAAGUGUCUCUCUGUGUAUCUGUGCUCUGGUUCAUAACAGUGGAGUUAUCUCUGUGUGGUGGCUGAGGCCCUGAGCCUGGCUGAUACAGUCCAUUACUGUGCCGACCCAGACCAUGUUAAAAUCCCUCUGGAGCAGUGAAGGCUCCUUGGAGGAGGAAGGGGAGGACCAUCUUCCUCAGUGAAUUUUAUAAAAAAAAAAAAAA
rnacentral:lncRNA from 13 species